AUUGAACGCUGGCGGCAGGCCUAACACAUGCAAGUCGGGCGAGCGGCAGACGGGUGAGUAAUGUAUGGGGAUCUGCCUGAUGGAGGGGGAUAACUACUGGAAACGGUAGCUAAUCCCGCAUACCAUCAGAUGCACCCAUAUGGGAUUAGCUGGUAGGUAAGGUAACGGCUCACCAAGCCGCAGAUCUCUAGCUGGUCUGAGAGUAUGACCAGCCACACUGGGACUGAGACACUGCCCAGACGCCUACGGGAGGUAGCAGUGGAGAAUAUUGCGCAAUGGGGGCAACUCUGACGCAGCCAUGCCGCGUGAAUGAAGAAGGCCUUCGGGUUGUAAAGUUCUUUCGGUAGCGAGGCGUUAACUACAGAAGAAGCACCGGCUAACUCCGUGCCAGCCGCCGCGGUAAUUC
rnacentral:rRNA from 1 species